ensembl:lncRNA
CAAGGACUGUCUUAAAAUAAAGGCACGUACAGUGCCAGGCUCAGUAGGCAUUGUCUGUGCCAGAGGCCUGGAGGCACAAACCUACAGCAAAUGACUGCUCUGUGUCACGAGGUACAACUUUUCAGGCCUGGAUCUUGGCGCUGGAAGUCUUGAACCCCAUGGUUCCUCCUUUCCCUCUGUGCUGCGCCCCUGGCUCACUGGUGGGAGCAGUACCAUCUUGUGCUCUGCUCUAAGGCAAACUCUCAUGCUUGCUUUCCAGCACAUAUCCCCCCCUCUGCAUGGCACCCUGCUUCCCAAAUCCAGGAUCAAUAGGAGGCUCAGGCAGGGACUUGUAUUGUGCAGCUUUGGCUCUGUUCUGGAGGAAAGUUCCUGUGAGCUGGUAUGCGGGCUGAGCGCUGGAUCAGCCAGGAGCACUGGGUGGAACCUUUCCCAGCAUAAAGGAAGAUGUUUGGAGGGAUUACAGAAGGCAUAUUGGGUACCUGCAGAGGUUGUAAACCAGAGAGAGCUUUCAGUUUGCCAUGGACCAAGAUGCCUGAUACGCCUACGUAUUUGUUAGCAUUUAUAAUAAGAGUAUCAGUAGAUAUAAUGGGGCUUUUCGCACUCCCUUUUUGCGCAUACAAAACACAAGCAAAGUGUACUCUGAAUUUAAUAACAAAGCAGGUGAGGAGUGUUUACUGCAGACUGCCCAGAGAGAUUUUGGAUGCCCCAUCCAUCCCUGGAGGUGUUCAAGGCCAGGUUGGAUGGGGCCCUGGGCAGCCUGGGCUGGUAUUACAUGUGGAGGUUGGUGGCCCUGCCUGUGGGGGGGGGUUGGAGCUUCGUGAUCCUUGAGGUCCCUUCCAGCCCGGGCCAUUCUAUGGUUCACUCCCAACAGCAUGGUUGCUACCGCCCACAUGAAUGGGGAAUACCUCCAUUCUGGGCCCAGAGCCUUGUAGGUAAAGGUGAGUGUGCAUUCUGCAUAUCCCAUUUGUACGCUCAAUGGCGCCUUAAGCAGUGGCAACUAAAACAGUGAUAGGUGAAAGACACCUGCUUUAAAUAAAUACAGUAAUCUGCCCAAAGCUCCCUGAAUGCACUGGUGUUCAGUGAGGGCCCUGAACCUGCAGACAUACCUAUGCUUAACAACAUAAUCAUUAAAGAACAGAAACCUUUCCUUCU